rnacentral:rRNA from 1 species
GACGAACGCUGGCGGCGUGCCUAACACAUGCAAGUCGAACGGAAAGGCGCUGCUUUUGUGGGGUUCUCGAGGGGCGAAGGGGUGUGAAACACGUGAGUAACCUGCCCUGUGGUGUGGGAUAACUUCAGGAAACUGGGGCUAAUACCUGAGAGGAGCUCGUGCUGCAUGGGGGGGGUUGGAAAGUUUCGGCGGUUGUGGAUGGACUUGCGGCUUAUCAGCUGGUUGGUGGGGUAGUGGCUUACCAGGGCUUUGACGGGUAGCCGGCAUGAGAGGGUGACCGGCCACAUUGGGACUGCGAUACGCACCAGACUCCUACGGGGGGCAGCAGUGGGAAAUAUUGCCCAAUGGGCGGAAGCCUGAUGCAGAAGCGCCGCGUGCGGGAUGACGGCCUUCGGGUUGUAAACCGCUUUAGCCUGUGACCAAGCGUGAGUGACGGUAAUGGGUAAAGAAGCACCGGCUAACUACGUG